AAAAGAGUGAGUGUUAAGGGUUUUCUUUGUAGAAAAGCCUCACCAGUUUUUGGUGGAGAAAUAGAUCUUUAUAAGGAGUAUAGCCAGCCUUUAGGGUAGGAUUUGAUGAGAAUAUUUCCGAGAUAUUGUGUAAAUAAUAUUUUAGAAUAAUGUGAAGAUAUCUCAAAAUAAAUGUGAUUGAGAUUACUUACUUGAUAGAGUUUGUCUUCACUUGAGAAUGUAUUAAAAAUAGGAUUUAGUAAUUAAUCCUAUCUUUAAUGGACUUUUCCUUGACACGAGCGGUCGUAGUCAGCUCCUUGAACUUCCAGGAGAUAUUAU
rnacentral:lncRNA from 1 species